UACACCCACCAAACUCUCACUUUCUCUCUUUCAUAUUCUCUCUUUCUCUCCACUCUAGAUCUGUUUCUUCUCAACUCAUUCUUCAUAUCCGUUUCCACUUCCUUAAUUUUUUUUCUCCAUUUUGGUCUCUUGGUUGUGUGGUGGUUGGGCGGUGGUGGUGCGGUGUUAGUUCGGUGUUGGUGCAGUGUUGGUGCGGUGUUGAUGCGAUGGUGGUGCAGGGUGGUGGUGCUUCAUUCGUGGGUGCGCCUACUGUUCAAUUUGGUCUAUUGGUGGCUGCGUUUUCUUUUAGAGCAUUUUCACUCAACUAUAUCACCUUGUUUGAUGCUUUUACUCUACAGCAGUUGGAGGAUUGAGAUGCUAUGAGAAUCCAAAGAACAAGAUUACUGCAGUACCUGCCGAAGAAGAGGAAAUCUGGGGUGCGACUUUUAAGGUGGAGGGAUCAGCAGUUCUUGCAGCCACAGAGUACUAGAUUCAUCUUGGAGUACAGUAUGGUGUGAUGUGUUAAUGGAGUGAUGACUGUAAGGCAUGCACAAGGGACCAUGUAAAUACCUUUUAGUAACUGAGAAAAGUGCGACUGGUAGUAGUUGUUUGUUCAUUAGAUAGGAUUUACUAUGUUUCUGGUUCUGGUGUACAGUUACGCUUUCUGAUGUAAUACAAAUGUGCCUGAGUUUCUCUC